ensembl:ncRNA C47D2.4 ncRNA
AGAGAGGAGAGUAAAGAGUAAGACAGUCGGACAUAAGGGGGGGGGAGGGUUGGUUGGUUCGACCACCCCCAGAUGCGACCCGCUAGGACACGGCUACCUGACCUCGUAUAUUUAGCAC